UGUUUGUAUACAAGAGCGCGCGUGCUUCCCUUUCUUCCGCUUCUGAACCAUAAAAGUUCCCCCUUCUUUCUUUUUUCCUUCCCUUUUUUUUCUGUCCCCCUUCCCCUUGGAGCCCCCGGUGGCGCAGUGGGUUAAACCGCUGAGCUGCUGAACUUGCUGGUUGAAAGGUCGCAGGUUCGAAUCCGGGGAGCGGCAUGAGCCCCAGCUUCUGCCCACCUAGCAGUUCGAAAACAUGCAAAUCUAUUCAAGAAACCUGUUCCAACUCUUGAUUGAUUGGAAAUAGUCCAUCAAGGAUGUGUGGUCCAGUUGGAGCAGCUUCGCUGAUUGGCCCUUGCUGGUGGCAGGAAAUCCAAUAAACUGUCAUUGGAGCAUUUGAA